GGGGAACGUUUGGAGGGAGUUCAGCAGAGGGCCACCAAGAUGAUGAGGGACAUGGAGAAUAUCCUGUAUGAGGAAAGGCUGAGAGACCUGGGACUGUUCAGCUUGGAGAAGACUGAGAGGGCAUCUUAUCAAUACUUACAUACAUCUAAAGUGUCCUCCCAGCUGUGAUCCUUUAUCAUCAAAUUCAGAGACUUCAGGUCUCUUCCUCCCUGUGAGCCCAGAAGGACUCCCAAGAACCAGAUGAGGUAUGAUGCUCAACAGUAUCAUCUUCCAGAGUGAAUCUCCAGAGCUAGCAGGAAGGGAGCAUUCCUGGACUACCCCUGCUUAGACAUUACAAGUGAAACUUCCUUUGAAAACUGAAGGCUUCUCAUAAGGAAGGACUCUACAUCAUCUUAUCUAGAGCUGGCACCUGUGUGAGGCCUUCUGGAGAAACAGCCGUGAAUAUUUAACAAGAGAUAUAAAAAUACAAGGAAAUGAAGACGGAUGUAAGAAGUGCUCUAGCAACCAUUUGUGCUUCAUCUGGAUUUCCCAUAAAACCAAGGGGUUCCAUCUUUUUGCUCAUGGAAUGGCUUGGGUUGGAAGGAAUCUCAAGAAUCAUCAAGUUCCAAGCACCCCUGCUACAGGCAGGGUUUCCAACCGCUUGAUCAAGUAGAAGACCAGGCUGCCCAGGACCCCAUUCAACCUGGCCUUGAACACCUCCAGGAAUGGGGCAUCCACAACCCCUCUGGGCAGACUGUUCCAGCACCUCACCACUCUCUAAGUGAAAAACUUUCCCCUGAUAUCUUAUCUAAAUAUUCCCUCCUUUCAUUUAAAACCACCAUUCCCUUUUGUCCUAUCACUAUCUACCUGUGUAAAAAGUUGGUUUACCUCCCUUUUAUAAAUUCCCUUUUAUUAUUCAAAGGUUGCAAUGAGGUCUCCCUGCAGACUUCUCUUUUCCAGGCUGAACAACCCCAGUUCCUUCAGUCUGUCUUCAUAGGAGAGGUGCUCCAGCCCUCUCUUCAGCUUUGUGGCCCUCCUCUGGACCCUCUCCAACAGCUCCAUAUCUUACCUGUGUUGGGGGCCCCAGACCUUGUCACAGUACCCCAGAUGGGCUCUCAUGAGGACAGAGGAGAGAGAGAGAAUCACCUCCCUUGCCCUGCUGUCCACCCCUCUUCUGAUGGAGCCCAGGAUACCAUUGGCCUUGCAGGCUGCAAGUGCACUCUACUGGCUGAAGUUAAGUUUUUCAUCUACCAGGACCACUAAGUCCUUCUUGUCAGGGCUACUCUCAAGGAAUUCUUCUCUCAGUGUGUAUGCAGGAUUACCACAACCCAAGUGCAAAAUGUUGCACUUUACUUUGUUGAAUAUCAUAAAUGAACUCAUAAAUGCAGGAUGCGAUUCUCAAAUAUCCAGUGAAAAAUUGACGUACCUGCUUAUUUUUGAGAUGAAGAGUAUAAAAGUACUUUAUCUCAGACAAGCUUCAGGUUCAAAUGCAAGCAUCUGAGUGAGGGUGGGAGAGAUAGCAAUGGGAUUGUUUCAUCAUUUCUUUGUGCUUUCAUGUUUCACUGAAAAUGGGAAUCAUAUGGCUCUGUUAAUAUCACUUGAACAGUAUAUUAACUAUAAAACAGCUGCUCAUUAUGGUAAUAAGGAAAGUAGUCAGUCAUUACUACUUUUUUUUUUUUUUUAACUUCCUGUAAUUUUCUUCUGUUGAUAGAAAUUUGUAUGCAGCAGUGAAAAGACCUAACUUUACAGAUACCUAGCAAACUGACCAUGGAUUCAAGUGUAAGAAAGCAUCUUAUAUCAGUAAAAAUGCUAUGGCUCUUUUCAUUUUACAUAAUUUUCUCUAAUUUGUAGAAUAGCGUUAAUUUUUUUAUACUAUACGUCAUUAGAAAAGUACUUAGCCAUCCCUUUUGUCUAACUCUUUGCUUGAACUUUCAAAGAGACAUCCAUUCUUUGUAUAACAAAUAUUUACUGAACACCAAAAAUAUUUUAUACAGCACUUGGGAUACUAUGAAAAGCUUUUAAGCAAAACUAGUCUGGUAAAUUUCUAGUAGCAUUUUGUCUCCCCGUGUACCUGCAAGAAUACUAUUUUCUCUUUACUAUUUCAUUCUUCAGAAAAAAAAAAAAAUCCUCUUGUCAGCCAGCAUAAUUUAGAAAUUUAAACUACCUCAAUUAAAUGGGAGCAUAUAUUUGUUGCAUUGCACAACAGAAAAGCUACAAAUUGUGCAUCGCACGCAGCUAAGGAAAACACUCUGAAUGUACAUGACAAGUGUCUUAUAUCUCACCUGUUCCACCCUUUAAAAUCCUCAGUGAACAGAAAAAUUGUUUUAUCCCAGCACACAACUUGCUAGAACAUAAUUGUUGAAGUCAUAGUUAUUAAAAAUAUAAUGUUAUGCCAAGUACUCAAAAUUACCAUAUCUGUAAAUCAUAUAACAUAUAGGGAAAGCAGCUUAUCUUCAUCCAUUUUCUCUGCUUCUUUAUCCUGUAUUUAGAAUGCUAAUA
ensembl:lncRNA